rnacentral:lncRNA from 1 species
UAUUAAAAAUAAUAAUUUAGACAUCUUUUAAACAAAUUAAACAAUUUAUUACAUAAUUUUUUUUUACACAAAUCAAACAAUAUAAACAAACUGAAUAAAUUAAACAAAUCCAAAUCUAAUUCAUCAUCUUCUUCACCACAAAUCCAAAUCCAAAAUAAUUCGAAAUCAAAAAUCUGAAACUCAUCAAAAUCAAAGCUACUAAGUUCUAAAUUUCUCUCUAAAUUUGCGGCUCAAAUUCAAACAUAAAAAUGGUGAUGGGUAAAACGAAAAUCAAAUUGUUCUGAUUUACUCCGAUCUAGUUCAGAUCUGACUGUAGGCAACAAGACGUUGAUGAUUUUGCAGGCACGAUGACGAUGAUUUGCUAGUACAACAACAAUAACCAUCAGCUAUACCCAAUUAGUUCAAAGAAAUAAGGAUGAGAGAGAAUAUCCAAUCAGCCAUACCCAAUUAACUAUGAAAAGUAUGAUUUAAGGGAAGAGGAUGAGAGAGAAAGAGAGAGGAAAUAGGUCUCACUUAAAAUUUUCUCUCUCCCUUAUUAUCUAUGUUCCCAUCCGCCAUCUCUUAUGGUGAAGAUGAUGAUGUACAGCACUAUAAGAGAUUAAGAAUUUAAGAUGAUGCUAAUUUGUUAAAUUUGUU